UUUUCUUUAUCUUUCUUCCUUCUUUUUCUUUUCUUGUACAUAUAAAAUUCCCAUUCAGAAUCAUGAUUGAUGAAUAAUGGAAGAACUUGCUUUUGAAUUCUGCGCCCAAUUCAAUUGCAAAGGAAACUAAAGUUACACAUUAUUUUGUGUCAAAUACAUAACAAGCUAAAUUAAAAUUUCCCAUGAUGGAUGUGAUAAAAACAAGCUGAAACUGAACCAGCAUCUAAUAGCAGUUGUGACUACCAUCUAAGAGUUGAGUAACAAGAUUGAAUGUGGUGUGUAUGUGUAUGUGUCUGUGUGUGAGAGAGGGAGAUAUGCAUACACACUAAUGAAAUAAAGAAAAGGUUCACAUAUUUCUUGUUCACACUUUUAUAAUAUUAAAGCAAUCAACUUCCUUAAAGAAAUAUAUUCAAAAGGGAAUUUUAGCUUUAAUUCUGUAGCCCAUAUCUAAGCUGAAACUGAGAAAAGAAAUUUUCAUCCAGAAAAGAAAAGAAAAGAAGAAAAAGAAAAAGAAAAAGGGAAGCCAAAAUGGCCAACAACAAAUUGUUAAAGUCAGUUGAACCAGAUCAAUCUUCAGAUUUCUUGGGCUUCGGUCAAGAAUUGUGAUCAAAUGGAAUCAAAAUCCAAUGAUUGAUUCCCCAAAGCAUUGCCAUCUCAGUGCCAUACAUUCAGUUGGUCUGCUGCAUUCACUUUACCAGGAUUCAAAGGUGAAGAAGAUUAGAUACUAAGUAAAUGUUUUAAAACAGACAAUUAUAAGAGCAAUAUCCUGUUUAAAUAACAGAAAAAGUAGAAGAAAUCAGCAUGGAAGUCUUUAAGAGAGUCUAAUUGUCAUGUUAUCACUCAAAGAUUUCAAUCAGUUGACUCAAUCCCCAUUUCAUCAGUUGCAAGUUGAAUGUGAGACAGUGAAAAUGGAGUGAAAAAGUCCAUUGAUCAUGCUGUUAUUGUCACCAUUCCCUUAUAUAAAAACUUUAACUAAAAAAUCAACACAGUGGGCCCAAUUAGUGAUAGGUCCAGUUUAACAGCAAGUUCUUCCUAAGCAAGCAUUUGCUUUCUGUCCAAAAAAUAUAAUUCCUUAAUGGCAAGCUCAUAGAUCAUAUUUAAAGAAAGGAAUAAACUUGUGUUUAUAGCGUGUGGCCAGAAUGUUUGAAAAACAAGAAAAGAAGGAAGAGUUAUUUACCUUUCUCUUUAACCAGCUGCUGUACUUGAAGGCUCCUUUCUUCCUUUAAUAUAUUCUGUAACAGGAAAAGGAGAUUCUAGGACGAUGCCAAACGGCCCCAGUAUUUUCUAGGUCAAUAGGAGAAGGUCCGGUGAAUCAAAAGUCAUUUAAGCAAAGAUGCCUCAUCAAUUAUUAUUCUUUAGAGGGGUCCAUUACAGGAGAUAUCACAAAUGAAAAAAGUAUGUAAAGAAGAUGAGAAGAAUAUGGCCUGUGGAAUCAAGAAAAGAGAAACAAAAGGAACGAGUCACUAUCCCACUAAAUAAUAAUGAGACUUAUUGGUGCAAUUUUAUGUCGAACACAUGCAGAAAAUGACAUGAGCAAUAUGUCACUACUAUAUUUUUUUCUAUACGCAUAUAACAUGAGUAAGUGGUUGCAGGCUUUAUAAAGAGAAAAGACUAGGCAAUUGUCAAUUCUAUAAAAUUACACAUUUUUCUUGCAAACAAGUGUUCAUUGUAAAAUGACAUUUAAAUUUAAAAGAACAAACAGGUGUACACAGUCUCACAUAUUAUUGAUGCAGAUGUGCUCAAUAAAAGACCACACAUUACUGAUGCAGACCUAUUCAGUGCAUUCCAUCUUGAAGUGAAAUGUCACCAUCUUGUGGAAGGGCAGCAAAAAGAUAAAAAGUGUCAAUGCAAUAAGAAAGAAGAAAUAAAAUUCUAUCACAGCACAUGCACAAUCCUAAUCUAACUUGAAAAGUUCAAACUUUAAAAUUCAAAUGCGAAUCAGUUAGGAAAAUGAGCAUAAAGAAGAAUCAAAUUAGCUGAAUGAGUUAAGAGUCUAGACCAACUAAUCCAAAGUCAGUCUUGGCUCUUGCAAUUCUAAAUCACCAAGCAAGUUUUCCAUUUUAUGCAAGUCAAAGAAAUUCAACAUAGCCAUGUCAGAACUCCCAACUAGUCACAUCAUAUUUGAACCUCCAGAUCUGGACAUGAUGGCAAUAAACCAACAAAUGAGGAUUGAAGUUCAUCUUACUUCUUGGCAUAUUGGGAAGUUCAGGAUAUUCAAUAUAUGUGAAUUUAAUGUGGCACAUGAUUUGUUAGUGGUAGACAUAAUUGCCUUCUUCACUAAAGCAAUGAAUAUCAUACUUGCCACAUUAAGUGAUGGCCAAUUUCUAGAAUCUUUUUUGAGGCACAUCUUUGUCCAAUAUCUCAUGACUUGAUUGACAGAGACAAAGUGGAAUCUUACAAAGAUAUUCCCUCAAAUAAUUUAGGCAAGACUGAGCCAUUCCUGAUUAAUGCUACAUCUAAUGAUGUACUACAUCUUGGUUGACAUGACUGAACCCAAUAACCAACAUCCUCUUACUGCAUGGUUGUGGGAAACUAUAGAGUGAUAAGCAUAUUUCCUAAGAAUAUUGGGACAGUAAAAUGCAGAAACCUCACUUCAAGCUAACAACAACAAUUAAUUUCAAUUUUUAUAAGUUAUAAAUCAAUUGUUGAGAAUCUCUAACAAUUUACUGUUGAACUUGAGAAAACAUAAGAACGAGGAACAGUUAUAGCAAGCAAACUUUUUUCUUGAGUUCCAAUUAGUUUAAUUUUAAAAAUUAAAGUGAAACCAUCUUUACUGCUUAUAUAAAUAGCAGCUAAACAAUUGGUUUUCCCUCUCCUCUGUUCUACAUUUCUUUAGCCUUUCGUCAUUCAAGCUCUUCAUAUUUAUAUUCUUAUCUAUGUAUAAAAGCGAGUAGAGGUUAAAGCUUACAAAUCUUUGAUGUCUCAAGAUCAGAUUCAUUCAGUCUUAACUGAGCAACUCUCCCCUGCUGAAUAAAGUAUUAGGACUCAAAGUUUAGGAAUUUUGAGCCAGACUUUUCUAGAGAUAGGACCAGAUCAAUGCAAAUUGAAAACAUAUAUAUCACUAGUUGUCAAUGAAAAUGGCCUCACACACAAAAAAAACCAUAGUGACUUGGAAACAAAGUAUACCCUCAUAGAAAAUGUGGCAUCCUAUGAAUAUUUUUCAGAAGGCCAAUAAUUCACAACACUAUGAUGCUUCGCAGGAAUCUUGCAAAUAGUUGAUUUUGGAAUUAUUGUCACAAGAUUAUAAACUCACUUGAUAUGCAAUAAUCAUUAGAGAAGACAAAACUUCCCCAAUUAAGCUUUGACUAGUCUUUUAUAUGCAUUCACAAUUUUCCAAAACAACUUGCAUAUCAAUGGAAAUUAUGAAUUACCCAGAUGAAAAAAACUGGUCAACGAGCAAAACCCACAUUACAAAGUAGAAAAAUAAAUUAAAAGAAAGGGGGCGUUUCCAUUUACCAAUUGAAAAACAGGAAAUUUAUAAUUCAAAUGAUAGAAACGUGUGAGCUCCUAAGUGUACCAGCUAAAAGACUUUUAUCUCGGCGAAUGUUCCAGCCAAUGCGUUGAUGUUUUGACCUUUCCGACUACUAGCAGUCGCCGAAAAUCGGAAGUUGGACUUGGAACCGGUGGC
rnacentral:misc_RNA from 1 species